rnacentral:misc_RNA from 1 species
UGUGGGAGCUGGCUUGCCUGCGAUGCAAGCGACUCGGUACGUCAGUUGCACCACAGUGAUGCCAUCGCAGGCAAGCCAGCUCCCACA